rnacentral:misc_RNA from 1 species
GAUGAAGAACGUAGCGAAAUGCGAUAAGUAAUGUGAAUUGCAGAAUUCAGUGAAUCAUCGAAUCUUUGAACGCACCUUGCGCCCUUUGGCUAUUCCGAAGGGCAUGCCUGUUUGAGUAUCAUGAACACCUCAACUCUCAUGGUUUGCCAUGAUGAGCUUGGACUUUGGGGGUCUUGCCGGCCUAUGGGUCGGCUCCUCUCAAAUUAAUCAGCUUGCCAGUGUUUGGUGGCAUCACAGGUGUGAUAACUAUCUACGCUUGUGGUUUUCCAUCAGGUAACCUUCAGUAAUGGAGGUUCGCUGGGGCUCAUAAAUGUCUCUCCUCAGUGAGGACAGCUUUUUUGAACGUUUGAUCUCAAAUCAGGUAGGACUACCCGCUGAACUUAAGCAUAUCAAUAAGCGGAGGA